rnacentral:rRNA from 1 species
AUGUGGCACAACACCGGCAAUACCUUGCCGGUGAUGGUCAACGGCCGGCAGACGGGCAGCAAAAAGGUUCUGGUGCUGCACACCAGCAAGAACUUCGACCAGCAGAGGACCAACUGGGUGAUGCACCAGUACCACCUCGGGGACCUAGAGCAAGAGAAGGAGCGGGAGCUGGUCCUCUGCAAGAUUUUCUACCAGACGAACACUAGGGCCAGGAGUAAAAAGAUUAUAAGUUACUUUGGUAUUGGUACUUGUACUACCUUGUCGUUCGCAAGUUGGUCGAGCAAGUUUCAACUGGGCUGUAGACUGCCCAGGCUUGGUUUUGUUUUUAACAGGCCCAGCCCAUGA